GGUGGUAUGGUCUAGUGGUAUGACGACACGUUGUGGCUGCUUACAGCCCUACAAUCCUGUUCCCAGGAGGCGUAUCAUCACCUCCGUGUUAGCGUGGGUUCGAUUCCCGCUACCGCCA